GAUGAACGCUGGCGGCGUGCCUAAUACAUGCAAGUCGAGCGAACAGACGAGGAGCUUGCUCCUCUGACGUUGGCGGCGGACGGGUGAGUAACACGUGGAUAACCUACCUAUAAGACUGGGAUAACUUCGGGAAACCGGAGCUAAUACCGGAUAAUAUAUUGAACCGCAUGGUUCAAUAGUGAAAGACGGUUUUGCUGUCACUUAUAGAUGGAUCCGCGCCGCAUUAGCUAGUUGGUAAGGUAACGGCUUACCAAGGCAACGAUGCGUAGCCGACCUGAGAGGGUGAUCGGCCACACUGGAACUGAGACACGGUCCAGACCCCUACGGGAGGCAGCAGUAGGGAAUCUUCCGCAAUGGGCGAAAGCCUGACGGAGCAACGCCGCGUGAGUGAUGAAGGUCUUCGGAUCGUAAAACUCUGUUAUUAGGGAAGAACAAAUGUGUAAGUAACUAUGCACGUCUUGACGGUACCUAAUCAGAAAGCCACGGCUAACUACGUG
rnacentral:rRNA from 1 species